AGUGUGUUCCACCUAUUGUGCAACUGAAAGACUUCAGACACUUAAGAUUUCCCUGGGGCUUACAAAACUUGUGCUUUCAGUGGAGACUUUUAGUUCAUUCAUCAAACACAUGAUAUAAACCACUCUGUUAUGCACCUUCAAAUCAAAAAAGAUGAAAAAGAAAGAAGAAAGAAAGGUGCACACAAAGGUGCUGUUAGGGACGUACUGUGCAGUCCCUGCAACCACCUUUUAUAAACCCAGAGAGCAGGAGAGGUAUUACCUACUAUCAGUGAGUUACAGGAAUCUGCAACUUCAGAUACCCUCCUUUAAUGUGAGCCCCCACACCUGGUAAAAGGAGCCAAAAGAAACUCAUUUUGUGUGUGACAACAUAAAUUGGGCACUUCUUUACUCAGUCAUCUAAACCACUGCCAAGACUAAAUCAUCUUGAAAUUGAUUCAAGGCUAAAGUGGAAA
rnacentral:lncRNA from 1 species